AUCGAACGCUAGCGGGAUGCCUUACACAUGCAAGUCGAACGGCAGCGCGGACUUCGGUCUGGCGGCGAGUGGCGAACGGGUGAGUAAUGUAUCGGAACGUGCCCAGUAGCGGGGGAUAACUACUCGAAAGAGUAGCUAAUACCGCAUACGCCCUACGGGGGAAAGGGGGGGAUCGCAAGACCUCUCACUAUUGGAGCGGCCGAUAUCGGAUUAGCUAGUUGGUGAGGUAAAGGCUCACCAAGGCGACGAUCCGUAGCUGGUUUGAGAGGACGACCAGCCACACUGGGAGUGAGACACAGCCCAGCCUCCUACGGGAGGCAGCAGUGGGGAAUUUUGGACAACGGGGGCAACCCUGAUCCAGCCAUUCCGCGUGUGCGCUGAAGGCCUUCGGGUUGUAAAGCACUUUUGGCAGGAAAGAAAUCGCACGGAUUAAUACUCUGUGUGGAUGACGGUACCUGCAGAAUAAGCACCGGCUAACUACGCGCCAGCCGCCGCCGUAA
rnacentral:rRNA from 1 species